CUUCCUACGGGGCGCAGCAGUGGGGAAUAUUGCACAAUGGGCGAAAGCCUGAUGCAGCAACGCCGCGUGAAGGAAGAAGGCCUUCGGGUCGUAAACUUCUGUCCUUGGGGAAGAAGAACUGACGGUACCCAAGGGGGAAGCCCCGGCUAACUACGUGCCAGCAGCCGCGGUAAUACGUAGGGGGCAAGCGUUAUCCGGAAUUAUUGGGUUUAAAGGGUGCGCAGGCGGGAGAUCAAGUCAGCGGUAA
rnacentral:rRNA from 1 species